AUGAACGCUGGCGGCGUGCCUAAUACAUGCAAGUCGAGCGAACAGACGAGGAGCUUGCUCCUCUGACGUUAGCGGCGGACGGGUGAGUAACACGUGGAUAACCUACCUAUAAGACUGGGAUAACUUCGGGAAACCGGAGCUAAUACCGGAUAAUAUAUUGAACCGCAUGGUUCAAUAGUGAAAGACGGUUUUGCUGUCACUUAUAGAUGGAUCCGCGCCGCAUUAGCUAGUUGGUAAGGUAACGGCUUACCCAGGCAACGAUGCGUAGCCGACCUGAGAGGGUGAUCGGCCACACUGGAACUGAGACACGGUCCAGACUCCUACGGGAGGCAGCAGUAGGGAAUCUUCCGCAAUGGGCGAAAGCCUGACGGAGCAACGCCGCGUGAGUGAUGAAGGUCUUCGGAUCGUAAAACUCUGUUAUUAGGGAAGAACAAAUGUGUAAGUAACUAUGCACGUCUUGACGGUACCUAAUCAGAAAGCCACGGCUAACUACGUG
rnacentral:rRNA from 1 species